rnacentral:rRNA from 1 species
CAGCCGCCGCGGGAAUACGAAGGGUGCAAGCGUUACUCGGAAUUACUGGGCGUAAAGCGUGCGUAGGUGGUGGUUUAAGUCCGUUGUGAAAGCCCUGGGCUCAACCUGGGAAUUGCAGUGGAUACUGGAUCACUAGAGUGUGGUAGAGGAUAGUGGAAUUUCCGGUGUAGCAGUGAAAUGCGUAGAGAUCGGAAGGAACAUCUGUGGCGAAGGCGACUAUCUGGGCCAACACUGACACUGAGGCACGAAAGCGUGGGGAGCAAACAGAAUUAGAUACCCGUGUAGUCCCUGUCUCUUAUAC